rnacentral:rRNA from 1 species
ACUCAAAGGAAUAGACGGGGGCCCGCACAAGCGGAGGAGCAUGUGGUUUAAUUCGAUGAUACGCGAGGAACCUUACCCGGGCUUGAAUUGCAGUGGAAGAUACUGGAAACAUUAUCGUCUUCGGACCACUGUGAAGGUGCUGCAUGGUUGUCGUCAGCUCGUGCCGUGAGGUGUUAGGUUAAGUCCUGCAACGAGCGCAACCCUUACACUUAGUUGCCAGCACGUCAAGGUGGGAACUCUAAGUGAACUGCCUACGCAAGUAGAGAGGAAGGUGGGGAUGACGUCAAAUCAGCACGGCCCUUAUGUUCGGGGCUACACACGUGCUACAAUGGUCGGUACAGAGGGCAGCUACCCCGCGAGGGGAUGCGAAUCUCAAAAGCCGAUCUCAGUUCGGAUCGGAGUCUGUAACUCGACUCCGUGAAGUUGGAUUCGCUAGUAAUCGCACAUCAGCCAUGGUGCGGUGAAUACGUUCCCGGGCCUUGUACACACCGCCCGU